GUUUAAGAAACAUUUAUUAUGUAUCUACCAGGUACUAGGAAUUAUAUAUCCUAGCAUGAUGGAAAUGUGAAAAAAUAAAUGUGACAGUUACUAUCCUCAAAAUAAAUAAAUGAAUGCUGAUUGCCUGACUGUCCGUGCUGUGGGACAGAAGAAUUGCAGAUUGGCCAUCUUGCCCUCUCUCGGUCCCACAGAAUCUUAAAACCUGGAUGCUGCAAGUAAUCUCCCAAAAGCCUUUGCGGUAAGCCCAGGCACGGGACAGAAGGAUGGGGAAGAGAAGAAUUCGGGUGUCGGGAAAAGCUGCAAUGCCUCCGUUUCCAUUUCUGUUUAACUGGCAGGUCUAAAUCCUGGGACGCCCACAGCUAAGCCGGGGGUAGAGGCGGCUCAAGGGAGCUGGGGAGAGAAAGGGAUCCGCCACACGGGGACGCUGUGGAGCAGGACGAGGCUUUUGCCACGAGCAUCUUUUCAGUGGCUUGUAAUGAAGAUGAAACGGGAGAGGAGGAUGGUCUCCGCACCUGCGCAGCAGUUGGGGGCGGAGCUGCAGCUCUGGCGCCUGCGCAGCAGCCAUUUGAGGAGCUGGGGUCCCUCUAAAAACGAAGGUAAAGAAUCCAGAAGGAAGGUUCUAGUGGAACAGAGACUGAAAAGCAUCAGGAAAAACUUGUGUAUAUGCGUACUGAAAAUCAUGGCCAUGGUAGAGAUACAGUGGAUUUCAUUUGUAAGUAAUCGAUCUGUUUCUUUAAAGGACAUGGUGUUUUUGUACACAGAGACU
rnacentral:lncRNA from 1 species